rnacentral:rRNA from 1 species
GGCGGCGUGCUUAACACAUGCAAGUCGAACGAUGAACCUGCUUCGGUGGGGGAUUAGUGGCGAACGGGUGAGUAACACGUGGGCAAUCUGCCCUGCACUCUGGGACAAGCCCUGGAAACGGGGUCUAAUACCGGAUAUGACCUGCCGAGGCAUCUUGGUGGGUGGAAAGCUCCGGCGGUGCAGGAUGAGCCCGCGGCCUAUCAGCUUGUUGGUGGGGUGAUGGCCUACCAAGGCGACGACGGGUAGCCGGCCUGAGAGGGCGACCGGCCACACUGGGACUGAGACACGGCCCAGACUCCUACGGGAGGCAGCAGUGGGGAAUAUUGCACAAUGGGCGGAAGCCUGAUGCAGCGACGCCGCGUGAGGGAUGACGGCCUUCGGGUUGUAAACCUCUUUCAGCAGGGAAGAAGCGUGAGUGACGGUACCUGCAGAAGAAGCGCCGGCUAACUACGUGCCAGCAGCCGCGGUAAUACGUAGGGCGCGAGCGUUGUCCGGAAUUAUUGGGCGUAAAGAGCUCGUAGGCGGCUUGUUGCGUCGGAUGUGAAAGCCCGGGGCUUAACUCCGGGUCUGCAUUCGAUACGGGCAGGCUAGAGUUCGGUAGGGGAGAUCGGAAUUCCUGGUGUAGCGGUGAAAUGCGCAGAUAUCAGGAGGAACACCGGUGGCGAAGGCGGAUCUCUGGGCCGAUACUGACGCUGAGGAGCGAAAGCGUGGGGAGCGAACAGGAUUAGAUACCCUGGUAGUCCACGCCGUAAACGUUGGGAACUAGGUGUGGGCGACAUUCCACGUCGUCCGUGCCGCAGCUAACGCAUUAAGUUCCCCGCCUGGGGAGUACGGCCGC